AGAGUUUGAUCAUGGCUCAGGAUGAACGCUAGCUACAGGCUUAACACAUGCAAGUCGAGGGGCAGCAUUUUAGUUUGCUUGCAAACUAAAGAUGGCGACCGGCGCACGGGUGAGUAACACGUAUCCAACCUGCCGAUAACUCGGGGAUAGCCUUUCGAAAGAAAGAUUAAUAUCCGAUAGUAUAUUAAAACCGCAUGGUUUUACUAUUAAAGAAUUUCGGUUAUCGAUGGGGAUGCGUUCCAUUAGUUGUUGGCGGGGUAACGGCCCACCAAGACUACGAUGGAUAGGGGUUCUGAGAGGAAGGUCCCCCANAUUGGAACUGAGACACGGUCCAAACUCCGUACGGGAGGCA
rnacentral:rRNA from 1 species